rnacentral:rRNA from 1 species
GACGAACGCUGGCGGCGUGCUUAACACAUGCAAGUCGAACGGAAAGACCCUGCUUUUGUGGGGUGCUCGAGUGGCGAACGGGUGAGUAACACGUGAGUAACCUGCCCUUGACUUUGGGAUAACUUCAGGAAACUGGGGCUAAUACCGGAUAGGAGCUCCUGCUGCAUGGUGGGGGUUGGAAAGUUUCGGCGGUUGGGGAUGGACUCGCGGCUUAUCAGCUUGUUGGUGGGGUAGUGGCUUACCAAGGCUUUGACGGGUAGCCGGCCUGAGAGGGUGACCGGCCACAAUGGGACUGAGAUAACGCCCAGACUCCUACGGGAGGCAGCAGUGGGGAAUAUUGCACAAUGGGCGGAAGCCUGAUGCAGCAACGCCGCGUGCGGGAUGACGGCCUUCGGGUUGUAAACCGCUUUCGCCUGUGACGAAGCGUGAGUGACGGUAAUGGGUAAAGAAGCACCGGCUAACUACGUG